rnacentral:rRNA from 1 species
GACGAACGCUGGCGGCGUGCCUAAUACAUGCAAGUAGAACGCUGAAGGAGGAGCUUGCUUCUCUGGAUGAGUUGCGAACGGGUGAGUAACGCGUAGGUAACCUGCCUGGUAGCGGGGGAUAACUAUUGGAAACGAUAGCUAAUACCGCAUAAUAGUAGAUGUUGCAUGACAUUUGCUUAAAAGGUGCAAUUGCAUCACUACCAGAUGGACCUGCGUUGUAUUAGCUAGUUGGUGGGGUAACGGCUCACCAAGGCGACGAUACAUAGCCGACCUGGGAGGGUGAUCGGCCCAACUGGGACUGAGACACGGCCCAGACUCCUACGGGAGGCAGCAGUAGGGGAUCUUCGGCAAUGGACGGAAGUCUGACCGAGCAACGCCGCGUGAGUGAAGAAGGUUUUCGGAUCGUAAAGCUCUGUUGUAAGAGAAGAACGAGUGUGAGAGUGGAAAGUUCACACUGUGACGGUAUCUUACCAGAAAGGGACGGCUAACUACGUG